rnacentral:tRNA from 1 species
GCAUCAAUGGGGUAGUGGUAACCUGGGUCGUUGCCAUCGCGUUUCGACCCGCCGCGAGUUCAAUUCUCGCUUGAUGCA